GUAACUCUACUAAGUUUAACCUCUCACAAACUGCUAAAGGCAUUAAGCUCACACUAGCUCCUAAGUCUAGAAAAUCUUUAUCGAUGACAUGAUUACCUAAAAGGCAAGGAAUGGAGAAAUUUCCAGGAUCUUUAUCUUUCUUUGCUAAUUUGUCCUCGGAAAUAGAAUUACAUUCCAAAGGCUUCAGAUCGUCAAGUCUACG
rnacentral:lncRNA from 1 species